rnacentral:rRNA from 1 species
UACGGGGGGAGCAAGCGUUGUUCGGAUUUACUGGGCGUAAAGGGCGCGUAGGCGGCCACCUCACGUCGACUGUGAAAUCUCCGGGCUUAACCCGGAAAGGUCAGCCGAUACUGCGGGGCUAGAGUGCAGAAGGGGCAACUGGAAUUCUCGGUGUAGCGGUGAAAUGCGUAGAUAUCGAGAGGAACACCUGCGGCGAAGGCGGGUUGCCGGGCUGACACUGACGCUGAUGUGCGAAAGCUAGGGGAGCGAACGGG